AACAGUAAUGUGGCUCCUACAACAUUAUUGUAGAAACACUUGGUUGGUCAGUCACUGACUGAAUCGAGGGUAAAGGCCCUCCAACAUCACAACAGAUCAGGACAUGUAAUAUAUAUAUGAAACUCUUUAAAUGUGCUUUUUAUUCAUCUUUCUUCUGACAGUCUUACUAAAAAGAUGAACCGAAGAUCUGCUGUGAAGGAGUCUGCGGUGAGAUGAUCUGUUAUUUACACAGUUUUUCUGCAUGAGAGAUGUUUCCUACAGCCGCUAUAUGAGCCGUACAGAGAUAUGAAGAGUACAGGACACCUGAUUCUAUAGUUCUGGAUCCAGUAAACAGUUCCUCUAAAUAUUAAAGUCAGUGCAGUUACUCUAUCAGAUUUUAAACAUGAACUCAUCUCCUUCUGUCUCUGUAGAUCUGUGAUCCCACUGAAGACACAUACACAGCUCUUGAGCUCAAGUCCACGACCUCUGACCUCUACGACACACUCACAACCGUUCGUCCCAGACCUCCUGAAGACUCUUGAUCCUAAACAUGAGAAUCCAUCAGUAAGUGUCUGAACCUCAGCUCCUCUCAAGAUAAUCAAUAAAACUCUCUUCAGUUCUAGUUUGAUUGUUUCAUGAAGCUUGUGGACGGAGGACGACAAAGGAA
rnacentral:lncRNA from 1 species